rnacentral:sRNA from 1 species
GCUGGGCAUGGAGGCUCAUGCCUGUAAUCCCAGAGGCUCAGGAGGCAGAGGCAGGAGGAUCUCAAGUUCAAGCCAACCUCAGCAACUUAAUGAGACCCUAAGCAACUUGGCAAGACCUUGUCUCAA